UGACUUGUAGCUCAAUUGGCAGAGCAACGGAUUGUUAAUCCGUGGGUUCCUGGUUCGAGUCCAGGCAGGUCAG
rnacentral:tRNA from 1 species